CCAGAUCCCUCUCUUGGUCAGUCAUUAGCAUUCCACUGGAGUUAAGUAAAUUGAAAACACAUCUUUGGUAGGCAGCGCUGCAAAAAAAAAAGGGGGGGAAAUAUGCCGCAUUUCCAAGUCUGACAAUGAGGAAGGACAGACGCCUCUCUGUCUAUCCAUCCAUCCAACACGUGUCCAAGAAUAUAGUGACUUGAAUUAAUUCUGGGGUGGAGAUGAUUCCCGAAAGGGUUUAGGUCGGAGCGGCAUUCGUUUUGCGGAAUAUUCUCAAACAAUUUGGAGAGCGAACCUUGGAGAGAUCCCUUCUUGCCAUGCUUUCAACCUGCCCAACCCGAUUUGGGCAUCUCUUCCUCAGCUUGUGUGUUUUCCUCCACAUUCGUUCAUCAUGGAGCUCGGAAAUGGAGACAGAACAAGGCGGUGUCCCUGGACUGAUGAUGGAACAAGGCAGGCAAAGCCCCGACGAAAGUGGAGCUCAAGGGUUGAACCGAAGCUCUUGUGAGUUCACCUUUCACCUCCCCUGGCCCCAAAGUGAAUGUGCCCCUGCGCCCCAGGCAUUGUCCCCAUUGGCUUCUCAGGAGGAGCUGGACCAUCUCAAGAUGUUGGUAGCUAACAUGGGAGAAGCCCUCAAGGCCCUGGAAGAGGCCACCGGUUCGGACGCAGGCAAAUCCAGGUACCAGGAUCUCAUUUCCGAAGCCCUUCCAGAUGUAAGAGAGGCCAAUGGGGCAUUUCAUGAGUCCAUGGGGAAAUUCCUGCAAGAGCUGGAGGAUCACACUCAGGUCGACCAACUUGCACACGUGGAGGACGAGAAAAAGAAAUUAAAGGAACACUUGCGGAUGAUGGACCACCUGCUCCGAGUCACUGGCCGCCUUGCCAAAGAGCUGGACCAAAUGUCCCAAACCGUCUUGGAGACCUUGACCGAACCUCUGGACAACACUACUAUCCCCACGUCUGCGAGCCCCUUGGUGCCAUUUUAGCCGUCAGUCCAUUCCAUUUAUAAGGAAAUCGAAAAUGUCUCAGACUUGCAGGACCAAAGACAGUAACGUUUACCCUUUCCAUGCACACAUUUCCCUGACUUCCGAGGCACAUGUCUUGCCAUGCUCCCAGUCCAAGAAAGGUUUCUGUUCUGAACACUCCAGCACUUUUAAUAUGGAAAACAAUUGACAAAGAAGAAGUGUUACUGAUACUGGGUUCCUGUAACCCUGAUGUUUCGUCCUGAUCAGAGUAAACUCAUUACAUUUAUCCUUGAGCAGUGAAUCAACACAGUGGCAAAUCCCAUUGGUUUAAUGCGUGCAUUUGGGGCUAACAAUACUAUUUAGUGGGUUGCUGUGAACUGUUUGGCCGUGUUCCAGAAGCAUUCUCUCCUGACGUUUCGCCCACAUCUAUGGCAGGCAUCUUCAGAGGUUGUGAAAUCUGUUGGAAACUAGGCAAGUGGAGUUAAUACAGUAGAGUCUCACUUAUCCAACAUAAACGGGCCAGCAGAAUGUUGGAUAAGUGAAUAUGUUGGAUAAUAAGAAGAUAUUAAGAAAAAGCCUAUUAAACAUCAAAAUAGGUUAUGAUUUUACAAAUUAAGCACCAAAACAUCAUGUUAUACAACAAAUUUGACAGAAAAAGUAGUUCAAUACGCAGUAAUGUUAUGUUGUAAUUACUGUAUUUACAAAUUUAGCACCAAAAUAUCAUGAUAUAUUGAAAAGAUUGACUACAAAAAUGCGUUGGAUAAUCCAGAAUGUUGGAUAAGUCAGUGUUGGAUAAGUGAGACUCUACUGUAUAUCUGUGGAAAGUUGAGGUUGUGAGGUCUGUUGUAAAAUAGGCAAGUGGGGUGUAUAUAUCUGUGCAAUGUCCAGGGUGAGAGAAAAAACUCUUGUCUGUUUGAGGAAAGUGUGAAUAUUGCAAUUGAACACCUUGAUUAGCAUUUAAUGGCCUUGCAGAUUCAAAGCCUGGAUGCUUCCUGCCUGGGGGAAUCCUUUGUUGGGAGGUGUUAGAUUGUUUCUUGCCUGUGAAUCCCAACAAAGAAUUCCCUCAAGCAAGAAGCAGCCAGGCUUUAAAUCUGCCAAGACAUUAAAUGCUAAUCAAGCUGGCCAAUUGCAACAUUCACAUUUGCCUCAGGCAGACAAGAGUUCUUUCUACCAACCUGGACUUUCCACAGAUAUAUAAAUUUAUUUACAGUAUUUAUAUUUUCACCCCGAAGGGGACUUAGGGCGGAUCACAUUGUACACAUACAAGACAAACAUUCAAUGCCAUAUGAACAUAGAGACAUACACAGACACAGAGGCAAUUUAACCUUCUCCAGCUUCCAGCUUCCUGAGAGUAUGCUUGAUUCUGGCCACAGGGGGAGCUGCUGCUUCAUCAUCCACUGUGAUGCCGACUUCCUCAUUCCUUUCCACAUGCUGGUGGCAGUUUUUUUUAUGGUGUCGUAAAUUUAGUUAAAUUAGCCUCCCCACAUAGUGGUAACUACAUUUCUUACUUGAUAGAUGCAACUAUCUUUCGGGUUGCUUAGGUCAACAAUGAGCAGGGGCUAUUUUUUAUUUUAAUUGUUGGAUGCUCACUCCGACAUGGGCUGGCCUCGAACUCAUGACCUCUUAGUGAUUUAUAGCAGCUGGCUACUAACCAGCCUGCGCCACAGUCCGGCCCUACUUGCCUAGUUUCCAACAGACCUCACAGCCUCUGAGGAUGCCUGCCAUAGAUGUGGGUGAAAUGUCAGGAGAGAAUGCUUCUGGAGCAUGGCCAUACAGCCCAGAAAACUCACAGCAACAGUAAUUCCGGCUUUCAUGCCUUUGACAAUACAAUACUAUUUAGGUCCAUUUGGGGCCCGUCUCCACUGUGGAAUGGAUUCAGAUUGAUACCACUUGAACUUCCAUGACCUAAUGCUUUGGAAUCCUGGGAUUUGUAGUUUGGUGAGGCCUCAGUACUCUUGGCAGAGAAGGUUAAAGACCAUAUAAAGUUACAACUCUAAUGAGGCUAUAGCAAAUUAAAGUGAUGUCAAACUGCAAUCUUUCUACGGCAUUGCUGUUUGCCUUCAAAUCCUUACUAAAUUAUAUAAAACUCUAACUCCUGUGAUUCUACGAGGGCUGAAUGAAAAGUAAUGCCUCCACCUUCGUAACUCCUCAACAGGCGGCAGUCCUGGUCUGCGGCAGGUCCUGGCUUGUUCAGUAGACUCUCCUCUACAGUUCCAUUUGGCGGGAAGCCUUAGCAUUGAACGGUUGUGUUGUUAAAGUGCAAAGUAUGGAACCCUGUACAGACAGUCAUUUAAUGCGACUUAAGCAACGUGCAGUCAUUGAAUUCUUGAGAGCAGAAGGUGUCACCCCAAAGGAGAUUCCUCAGAGAAUGCAAGCUGUUUUGGGUGAUUGUGUUGAUGUGAAUACUGUGCGUCAUUGGGCGAAUUAAGUUUAAAGAUGUUGAGGUGGGAACAUCGGACUUGUGUGACAAACUAAGAGUUGGACGUCCUGUGACAGCAACCACCGGGUUUCACAAGCAAAAGGUUGACAGAUUGAUUCAGGACGAUCGCCGUAUCACUCAGAGAGAAAUUUCAAGCCUAAUCGGCAUUUCACAAGAACGUGUGGGUCACAUUAUUGCUUGGCUUGGUUAUCAGAAGAUCUGUGCACGAUGAGUCCUGUAAGACGUCGGUUGCGGAAACAGAGUGUCGACUUCUUCUGUGACGGCUUCAGAAAACGUGUUCAUUGUUGUCAGAAAUGUAUCCAAUUGUCUGGUGAUGAUGUGGAAAAGUGAAUAGUGGUAGUUAAAGAGCACGUUCUAAGGAUUAUUUUUGCGUUUGAUUUAUUAAAAUACUCCCAUCCAAACCCAAGUAACGAAGGUGGAGGCAUUACUUUUCAUUCAAGGAGAUUCAUCAGAGAAUGUAAGUUGUUUAUGGGGAUUGUGUGACUGUGAGUCCUGUGCGUCAUUGGUGAGUAAGUUUAAAGAUGUUGAGGUGGGAACAUGUUCAUCGUUGGCAGAAAUGUAUCCAAUUGUCUGAUGAUUAUCUGGAAAAGUGAAUAGUGGUAGUUCAAGAGCACAUUCUAAGGAUUAUUUCUAUGUUUGAUUUAUUAAAAUAUUCCCAUCCAAACCCAAGUAGUGAAGGUGGAGGCAUUACUUUUCAUUCAACCCUCGUACAGCCAUGAGUCAUGGCUGUUUAGGUGCUUGUUGGCAAUGUAUCCCUUGCCCUGUUCUCCUAUUUGCAAACAUGUGCUGGAGUCCCCAAAGAGGCCGGAUUAAUCAAAUCCAUAAAAAAACUGAACCUGGAAAAAGUAAAAUGCAGCUUUUCUAAACUCAAGUGUGGAACUGUCACAAACGGACAAAGUUAUAUUGCUGCUUUCAGGAAUUGGCAGUGGAGCAGGGAAGCUGACUUCAGCUGAAAUAUCAGCAUUUUCAGGCCACGUACAUUUCAAAGCUCCUUUGCAAUUGCUUCCCGAUCCCCUUCAAAGCUGACUCAAUCCCUUGCAGAAAUCUCAAACCGCCCUGCAUCCGGAUUCAUGCAUCUAAAAAAAUCAAUAUAGGGGGUGUUGGGUUUUGUGUCCCCCCCCUCUCAAUAAUUAAUUCCCCAUGUACAACCACCCUCACUUUCUCAUUCAGUGUAUAUCCUCCCUUUUGUGCUUUCUAACAGAAUGAUGAAGAGGAAUCAAUAGUUUCCUUGCUCAACUGGGAGAUGGUGCAACUUGCAUUGAGUUUGGUGACGCCUAGUGGCAACUCUGGGUAUGUCUACACCAGACAUGGGCAAACUUUGGCCCUCCAGGUGUUUUGGACUACAACUCCC
rnacentral:lncRNA from 11 species